rnacentral:ncRNA from 1 species
AGAUUGCCGGCGUUUAAAGGUGCCUGACGGCGAGUGUUUGGCCGUCAGGUUAAACGGGAAGAAUGGUGCAAAACCAACGCUGCCCCCGCAACGGUAAUGAGCGCGCUACAGGUUUCCAUGAACGUUAUUGUUCAUGUUGCAACUUGCGUAACGGCUUCAAAAAACCACUGUAUAGCUUGAUUAGUCGGAUCAGUUGAAUUGGACGCUAUCCACUGAAAUAUUGCUGAUAUGGGAAGGUGAAGCCUGAUAUUUUACAUGCCUGAUUCAGGUGUUGGGUAUCGCUCUAAGCCCGGAUACCGGCCUUAUACAUCCAUUUGAAC